UUCCUAAUGGACAACUUUUUAGGUAGGCCCUGCCCCAUGAAAUUUUUUUAAAUGGCCGCAAAAGUGCUAAGGUAGCAAAAUCAAUUGCCACUUAAUUAGUGGCUAGUAUGAAUGGGUUAACAAAAAGACACCUGUCUCACCCCAGGACAUAAAAUCUAACCUUCAAGUGAAAAGGCUUGAAUAAUAAUAAAAGACAAAAAGACCCUGUCGCGCUUAAAAACCCCACUUGUUUUUACCACAAGCCACUUUUUUAGUUGGGACGACUUCUGAUAAAAUAUAACACCAGAGAAAAAAACGAAAUAAUUUUCUUUUUUUUGACCCUUAAAAAGAUCAAGUAAUUAGCAACCGCAGGGAUAACAGACUAAUUUUCUUACUAGAGCCCAUAUCGACUAAGAAGGUUGGCACCUCGAUGUUGGCUUAGGGGAGCAGCUAGAUGCAGCAAUCUGGCUUGGAGGUUUGUUCAACCUAUAAAUCCCU
rnacentral:rRNA from 1 species